rnacentral:rRNA from 1 species
AGCUCCAAUAGCGUAUACUAAAGUUGUUGCAGUUAAAAAGCUCGUAGUUGGAUUUCUGCGCGGGUGGGGCGACCGUGCGUCUACAAGGCGUGUCGUGUCAGCAACGCCCAUGCAUCCUGCCGCGAACCACGCUACCAUUCAUUUGGUGGCGUUGGGGAUCGGCUCGUUUACUUUGAGAAAAUAUGAGUGUUCAACGCAGGUAAUUGCCUUGAAAUUGGUAGCAUGGAAUAAUGAUAAAGGACUUUGGUUCUAUUUUGUUGGUGUUCGGAACCGAAGUAAUGAUUGAUAGGGACAGUUGGGGGCGUCUGUAUUCUGAAGCGAGAGGUGAAAUUCUUAGACCUUCGGAAGACAAACAGCUGCGAAAGCGUUCGCCAAGGAUGUUCCCU